UACGUAGGGUGCAAGCGUUAAUCGGAAUUACUGGGCGUAAAGCGUGCGCAGGCGGCUUUGCAAGACAGAUGUGAAAUCCCCGGGCUUAACCUGGGAACUGCAUUUGUGACUGCAUGGCUAGAGUGCGGCAGAGGGGGAUGGAAUUCCGCGGUGUAGCAGUGAAAUGCGUAGAUAUGCGGAGGAACACCGAUGGCGAAGGCAAUCCCCUGGGCCUGCACUGACGCUCAUGCACGAAAGCGUGGGGAGCAAACAGG
rnacentral:rRNA from 1 species